ensembl:lncRNA
CUGGAGCAGGAUUUUGAUGGUCAGAUCUGGAUAUUCCCGGAGGAGCUGGAGCCGGUGGACCGACGGGGUGGGCGGAGCGUGGGACGCCGAUGUUUCCGGAUGUGGAUUUGAAGUUGGGAACUGAAAGAGCCGAAACACAUCAAAAGUUCUCGAUGACUUGGUCGCUUUAAGGUUGGAUAUUACUGCUUGAAGCUCUGGACUUUUAAAUUGUCUGAGGAGGAUGAAAGGAUUUUCCCGAGUCUUCUGCAGGGCUGGUCUGCUUGAACAACGCUGCGAUCCAACACCGACGACGGAUCAGAUCAUGAUCACAGUCAGAAGAUGGAUACUCGCCUGCAGGCAGACCUGAACAGAUACAGCAGUGGUACGAAAACGAAGUAAGCAGAAAGGUCCGGCUAUGGAAGAUUGACCUUAUCUUGCAAAUGAAGUGUCUACUACUUUUCAACUCUGUGUGAAGAUAACUCAGGAACCAUUUCCUUUACUGCUCCUUACUCUAAUUCAGACAGAUACCGUUCAACCCACAAGGAGAACUGGGACAGAUUGUAACUAAUUACCUGUCGAACACUUCAAAAAUCAAAAAGGAUGUCUUGUUGGCCUCGUAUCUAGCAAGCAAUGCAUCUACAUUUGAAGCUAUUUAUGUGAUUCCUAAUAAAUGGAUCAUAUUCCUCAGGCAUUUAACACAAGAUAUGGAGCAUGUGAGAAGCCUCUGGGUAACAAAAUACAAGAUGGAAACCUAUAUGAGUUGCUCAUCUUAGUUUCAUUGUAUAGUACCUAUUGCAUUUUUAAUUGAUCUCAGAUUCGAC